GGAGGUAUAGCUCAGUGGUAGAGCGCAUGCUUAGCAUGCACCAGGUCCUGGGUUCAGUCCCCAGCACCUCGA
rnacentral:tRNA from 1 species